rnacentral:rRNA from 1 species
AGGGCACCCCCCGGAGUGGAGCCUGGCGCUUAAUUUGACCCAACACGGGAAAACUUACCCGGCCCGGACACUGAAAGGAUUGACAGUUUGAGAGUUUUUUCUUGAUUUGGUGGGGGGUGGUGAGGGGCGUUCUCGUUGGGGGAGGGUGUUGUCUGGUUACUGCUAAAUACGAAAAAGAAUUUAGCCUGCUCUUUGCUACCUGAUACUCACCGUCGUUUGCCAAAAAGUAAAUUAAUAGCGAAAGGGGGCUUGGGGUCCCGCGGCUUCGAGCUUAACAGUAAUGUCUGUUCCUUGUUUGUCUUGGUCGUGAGGCGCGUUAUACUUCUGCAAAACUACAUACAUCACAGGAUGUCGGAUAUUUUUUUUACCCCCCCCUCCCCCCUUCCCCGGAAACCCAAAAGGGGUUUUUUUUUCCCCCCCAAAAAAAUUUUUUCUUUCUCAUACGGGGGAAAAUUUUAAGGGGAAUAUUCCCCCCGAGGUGGGCCCCCCCCCCCCGGGAAGGAGGACCCCCUCCCCCCC